AAGAAAAAUCCAGCAUUUGGGUUUAACCUGUUAGCACACCAGCGCUCUCUCCAAAGGUUCUGCUUCUACGUGAAGAUCCUACCGCAUCUCACAGCACGGAGACAAGACACUAAGCACCAUUUUAAACGGAGAGAAAGGUUUCCCGAGCCGUGCUUUCUGCCCCGAGACCACCCAGCACAUCCCCUCCAAGCGCAGGGCAGGGCGAGGAGCUCCAGCCCAGCACACAGCCGGUACCACCGGCAUCACCUCAACCCCGUGCCACUAACAGGGCUUUGCCCACCCUUUCGCCCCCCAAACCGCAGCGGCUACGCAUCCUUCUCCCACGCUUCUCUGUGUAUCAGGAAACCUUCAGCUGGCAGCACAGCUCCGAGCCGCUUUCCCAGCAGCAGGACGGCAGCUCCGGGAGGGCAGAGCCCCGUUCUGCUCCGCGAGGAACCGGAGCGGCACCGCGCAGCCCGAGCUCGGCUCAACGGCGCUGCUGAGCGCGGAGCUCAGCCGGACUCCGCUCCCUGCCCGCACGAGCAGCGGGACAGGCGAGGAAACUCCUCGCUCGCACCGAACGAACGGCCCCGGAUGGCGCCCACGGCAGAGCGGCAUCCACGCAGCUGCAGCGGAAAACUUAUGCACUCCGGUCCCGGAGAAGCGGCUCCGAGCCCCGGCUGUCAGCAGCGCGUGGAGAAACUCCUCUCCCCCCCACCCAACCCCGCACAGCCGCCCCCUCCCCACGCCGCCCCUCCUUCCGCCGGGGCAGCGCUAACGGCCCCGCAGCUCUCAGCUCCGCUCCGGCCUCGCCCCCGCACUCACCUCCCUCGGAGCUCUCAGCCCGCUCCGCUCGCGGCCGCCCGUACACAGCGCCGCUCAGUCGGAUCGCGGCGGCGCCCGAUGUUUAUAGGGCCCGCGGGCCGCCCCGCCCCGCCCGCCCCUCCGCCUCGGGGCGCGUGGGGAAGUGCCGUCCGGCCCUGCGACGGGAUGCGAGGGGAGCGCCGUGGACUCCAACGGCCGUGGAUGUGGGGCAGUGUAGGGCUCCCGUGGCUCCAUAUCCCUAUGCCCCGCUGCAUAGGGAUAGCAGGGGAUGGGAGGCUCCCAAAGCCAAGGGCCCCGUAG
rnacentral:lncRNA from 1 species